rnacentral:rRNA from 1 species
AUGCAGUCGAGCGGCCCCUACAUACGGGAGACGGCAGACGGGAGAGUCCACGUGGGAACGCGCCCUUCGGUUCGGAAUAACCCAGGGAAACUUGGGCUAAUACCGGCUACGUCCGCAAGGAGAAAGAUUUAUUGCCACAGGAUCGGCCCGCGUCCGAUUAGCUAGUUGGUGAGGUAAUGGCUCACCAAGGCGACGAUCGGUAGCUGGUCUGAGAGGAUGAUCAGCCUCACUGGGACUGAGACACGGCCCAGACUCCUACGGGAGGCAGCAGUGGG